GUUUAAUAUUUCAUUUCUAGGGCAGGAAGAAAUUAACUUAUAGAGAUUCAAGAUCUUAACAUUUGAGAAGGGCUAAGAAAACUCCACUCGUUAUACCUGUCUUUUUGCCACUUCAUCCAUUUGCUGUCACCUAGUAACACACAGGCUUUGCUGUUUGCCACCUAUACCUGGCCUAUUUUGAGAAGUAAAGAAAGCUACAUUCAAGGAGCUUAUAACUGAAGAAGAAAUCACUGGACUUCACUAAGUGUGAAAUACAGACUCUGAAAAUUUUAACUCGGAGUAAGGUUUUCCUCACUGUGGCCAAACCAAGAGGAACAUGUUAG